GACGAACGCUGGCGGCGUGCUUAACACAUGCAAGUCGAACGGAAAGGCCCUGCUUUUGUGGGGUGCUCGAGUGGCGAACGGGUGAGUAACACGUGAGUAACCUGCCCUUGACUUUGGGAUAACUUCAGGAAACUGGGGCUAAUACCGGAUAGGAGCUCCUGCUGCAUGUUGGGGGGUGGAAAGUUUCGGCGGUUGGGGAUGGACUCGCGGCUUAUCAGCUUGUUGGUGGGGUAGUGGCUUACCAAGGCUUUGACGGGUAGCCGGCCUGAGAGGGUGACCGGCCACAUUGGGACUGAGAUACGGCCCAGACUCCUACGGGAGGCAGCAGUGGGGAAUAUUGCACAAUGGGCGGAAGCCGGAUGCAGCAACGCCGCGUGCGGGAUGACGGCCUUCGGGUUGUAAACCGCUUUCGCCUGUGACGAAGCGUGAGUGACGGUAAUGGGUAAAGAAGCACCGGCUAACUACGUG
rnacentral:rRNA from 1 species